AACACAGCGUGAAGCAUGAUGUCAAAACUUUUACUUUUUUUUUUUUUUUUACAUAUUCAAGGGAGUGGGUGGAAGCAUUAACUUGGAAAAAUAAAAUCCCACUUCUUAACCACCUGCAUAAUCUUACUUGGCUUUUGUUUUAACCAUAUUAUAAAUGUGAAAUUUGUCAAAAUUGGUUUAUUAACUCUUUAAAUGAAUCUUUUUUUAAAAAGUAUUUUCUCCUGACAUUUAUUGUUGCUAUGUAAGUUCCGUUGGCAGUUGGUGGUUACCGUAGCAACCAGUAACUGACAGUUCUCCCCAUUUUUCCUUUCGCCUUGUCUGUAACUGCGGAAUGCAUUACAAUCUGCUCUGUGUUUUAUUUACAGGUACAACAGGUCAUGAAAACACGGAUCCUCACCGUUCAACCACACCGCACAGGGAUCGUGAACUUUAAACUCUUCACUCUCCAGAUCCUCCAUGGUCACAUGGGAGCGGAGUAACAACAGAUGCCACUUUGAAGCGCCAUCGAAGGGAGAAAAAAAAACCCAGUGAAAGGAGGUCUGCAUUCAAAUUGAGAGAGUUCAGCGUCUUGGAGAAGAUUUCAGAGCUGACAAGAUCGAUGCCCCUCUCACGUUUGUCCUUCAGAAGUGAGGACUCAGAAACUAAAUUAGCAAAACAAAAUGGCAGCCAGGGGACACAUCCAGCUCUAUAGCAUACUAAUUAACACCUUAUAUCUUGUUUGUUUAAUGGCGGUGCUAAAACCAGAGUCUUAAAGGAAAAAGUCCCAGUUUAUUGGGUCUUAUAAUCUCUGGCAGACUAUUUGACCGAGAGCAGUAACGCCUUAAAGUUUCCCCUGGUUGCCUGGCAACUGCUAUGAGGCAAAAAAAAAAAGUCAAAGAGAUUUUUAACCUCUCAAAAAGACUCAACUGUUUUAUUUAUGAUGUGGUUCUUGUACAUAUUAAACAAACAUCCUUCAGAAGGAAGCGCCCGUAGGUGAAUUUUUUUUUUUUUUCACUUCACAGAGCCUGAUUAGUUCUUCCUUCCUUUUCUGCUCUUUGUGUUAAGUCAAAGGCUUCUGGCUGCAGACAUGAGAGUUAAAUUGGUCUUUUUCAUGAAACUUUCAAAGCUAUGGUUGCAAAUUGUGCUUUCCACUUUGAUGCUCCUGCUUUCCUCCGC